UACGUAGGGGGCAAGCGUUGUCCGGAAUCAUUGGGCGUAAAGAGCGUGUAGGCGGCUCGAUAAGUCUGCUGUGAAAGUCCAGGGCUCAACCCUGGAAGGCCGGUGGAAACUGUCGGGCUAGAGUCCGGAAGAGGCGAGUGGAAUUCCCGGUGUAGCGGUGAAAUGCGCAGAUAUCGGGAAGAACACCCGUGGCGAAGGCGGCUACUCUGGGACGGUA
rnacentral:rRNA from 1 species